rnacentral:rRNA from 1 species
UGCCAGCAGCCGCGGUAAGACGGAGGGUGCAAGCGUUGCUCGGGAUUACUGGGCGUAAAGGGUGCGUAGGCGGCCUUUCAAGUCUGGCGUGAAAGCCCAGGGCUCAGCCCUGGAAGUGCGCUAGAAACGGGAGGGCUUGAGUAUCGGAUGGGAGAGUGGAAUUCCUGGUGUAGCGGUGAAAUGCGUAGAUAUCAGGAGGAAUACCGGUGGCGAAGGCGACUCUCUGGACGAUAACUGACGCUGAGGCACGAAAGCGUGGGGAGCAAACAGGAUUAGAUA